rnacentral:sRNA from 1 species
UUGCAUUAGGGAUUAAAGUGGAAAUACUUUUUGGCUUUUUUUUAACCAAAAAGAUUGAAACGUAAAGCCCGACCCGCC